rnacentral:rRNA from 1 species
UACGUAGGGGGCAAGCGUUGUCCGGAAUCAUUGGGCGUAAAGCGCGCGUAGGCGGCCCUGUAAGUCCGUUGUGAAAGUCAAAGGCUCAACCUUUGAAAGCCGAUGGAUACUGCAGGGCUAGAGUACGGAAGAGGCGAGUGGAAUUCCUGGUGUAGCGGUGGAAUGCGCAGAUAUCAGGAGGAACACCAAUAGCGAAGGCAGCUCGCUGGGACGUUACUGACACUGAGGCGCGAAAGCGUGGGGAGCGAACAGG